rnacentral:lncRNA from 1 species
AGGAAAGGGAACCCCUAAGCCACUUUGGGAGCCACAUCCACCACUUCUCUGCCCCUGACCCAGGCUGCUUCCUAGCCCUUAGGGUCCUACUGCGGACCUCCCGGCCAUAAUUAACGCAGGUGCAGGACCAGAGAGCCCCUUGGUCCCUCCCAACACAUGAGGGAACUUUGUGUGGUGAGGUCAGAUUAACUCGAAGUACCCCACAACUACACGCUAAUGAAACUAGAGGAGGCACAGCCUCAGCUCUGUGCAGGAUGGAUGCACAAGAGCAGAAUCUCCAUGGGACGCCUUUCUGGAGCAUCAGUAUUACUGCAGGAUUUGGAAGCAACAAGUUCAAAUAAUUUUCAACGUUAACACACUGGAAAUUUAAGAGAAGUCUGGAAACUCAUCUACCUUUAAAAACUGUCAGUCAUCUGUGCCUAAGUCAGACUUUCUCCAAGAAAAAAAAAAAAAGAAACUCUAAGGAGACCCUAUUUUUAAUUCUUCUAAGUAGUUAAAAUUAGAAAUCACAGCAAGUCAACAGGAAGCUCUCCUCUGCCAGUCUCCUAAAUCACAAUAUGGCCUUGUCAUGGCUGGAGUAUUUCAAAGGCUCAGUCCCACUCCAGAAUCGGCCCUGUCGCCCCCGCCCGCACUCCAGAGCCGGCUGAGAACCGCAGCGGCGCGGGAUCCACGUGCAGCGUCUCUCCGGGUCAAAGCUACCUAGAUGUCAUCAUACAAAUUACGGGCUAUGAUGUCCACCUCAUUCUCUUUCUGGAAGGCUGACCUUAACUGUCCUGCACAUUCCUUACACAGCAUAUUUGCCCUUCUCCUAU